rnacentral:rRNA from 1 species
UUAAAUUGAAGAGUUUGAUCAUGGCUCAGAUUGAACGCUGGCGGCAGGCCUAACACAUGCAAGUCGAACGGUAACAGGAAGCAGCUUGCUGCUUUGCUGACGAGUGGCGGACGGGUGAGUAAUGUCUGGGAAACUGCCUGAUGGAGGGGGAUAACUACUGGAAACGGUAGCUAAUACCGCAUAACGUCGCAAGACCAAAGAGGGGGACCUUCGGGCCUCUUGCCAUCGGAUGUGCCCAGAUGGGAUUAGCUAGUAGGUGGGGUAACGGCUCACCUAGGCGACGAUCCCUAGCUGGUCUGAGAGGAUGACCAGCCACACUGGAACUGAGACACGGUCCAGACUCCUACGGGAGGCAGCAGUGGGGAAUAUUGCACAAUGGGCGCAAGCCU